AAAAUACGAGUUGUUUUUCAUUCUUUCGAUUGUUCGCACAAAUUAAAAAUUGGAAAUAAGCAAAUGAACCAAGUGUUGGGUUUCCUGUUGCCAUUGUUGAUGUCUGCUUUGGUCUGACCCAGAAGUUCCUGACUUCUACGUGUGUUGAUUUGGACAGUGGUGGGUUUGCUUGUAUUCUGUCUAAUGCAUUCUGUGAUAAUGGAGAAUUUGGUGUAAUUCAGAGG